UACAGAGGUCUCAAGCGUUGUUCGGAUUCAUUGGGCGUAAAGGGUGCGUAGGCGGCGCGGUAAGUCGGGUGUGAAAUCUCGGAGCUUAACUCCGAAACUGCAUUCGAUACUGCCGUGCUUGAGGACUGGAGAGGAGACUGGAAUUUACGGUGUAGCAGUGAAAUGCGUAGAGAUCGUAAGGAAGACCAGUGGCGAAGGCGGGUCUCUGGGACAGUUCCUGACACUGAGGCACGAAGGCCAGGGGAGCAAACGGG
rnacentral:rRNA from 1 species